rnacentral:rRNA from 1 species
UGUAGUUAGCCUAACCGCAAGGAGGGCGAUUACCACGGUAGGGUUCAUGACUGGGGUGAAGUCGUAACAAGGUAGCCGUAUCGGAAGGUGCGGCUGGAUCACCUCCUUUA